rnacentral:misc_RNA from 1 species
GAUGAAGAACGUAGCGAAAUGCGAUAAGUAAUGUGAAUUGCAGAAUUCAGUGAAUCAUCGAAUCUUUGAACGCACCUUGCACCCUUUGGCAUUCCGAAGGGUAUGCUCGUUUGAGUGUCAUUGUACUCUCACACUCUCCGAUCCUAUGGAUUCGGGGAGCGGUGGACUUGGGUGUUGCUGCCUUUCCUUGUGGCUCACCUCAAAUGUGUCAGUGCACCUCUUGGUUGGACAUAGUACGGCGUGAUAAGUGUCUUCGCCGGCACCUCGCAAGAGGGUGGCCGAUCGGGAGCUCUGUGCUUUCAAACCGUCUUCGGACAAUUUCUGACAACUUGACCUCAAAUCGAGUAGGACUACCCGCUGAACUUAAGCAUAUCAUAAGCGGAGGA